rnacentral:rRNA from 1 species
CGUCUGCCUCUUUCGCCCCCGCCCCGCGUGUGCGGCCUCUAGUCUAGCACUCAAAGGAAUUCCCGGCGGCCCGCUCAAGCGGCGGAGCAUGCGGAUUUAUUUCGAUGCACCGCGAAGAACCUUUCCUGGGUUUGACAUACACCGGAAAGCGCUAGAGAUAGUGCCCCUUUUUGUCGGUGUACAGGUGGUGCAUGGCUGUCGUCAGCUCGUGUCGUGAGAUGUUGGGUUAAGUCCCGCAACGAGCGCAACCCUCGUCCUAUGUUGCCAGCACGUCAUGGUGGGGACUCAUAGGAGACUGCCGGGGUCAACUCGGAGGAAGGUGGGGAUGACGUCAAGUCAUCAUGCCCCUUAUGUCCAGGGCUUCACGCAUGCUACAAUGGCCGGUACAAAGGGCUGCGAUGCCGCGAGGCGGAGCGAAUCCCAAAAAGCCGGUCUCAGUUCGGAUUGGGGUCUGCAACUCGACCCCAUGAAGUCGGAGUCGCUAGUAAUCGCACAUACAGUAGGUAUAUAAGUGGUAAC